rnacentral:rRNA from 1 species
AUAGCGUAUAUUAAAGUUGUUGCAGUUAAAAAGCUCGUAGUUGAACUUCAGAUUUGGUCGAAUGGUCCGCCUAACGGCGUGUUACUGUUUGGCUGGGUCUUGUCUCUUGGUGAACCAUUGUGCCCUUUAUUGGUGUGCUUUGGGGAACCAGGACUUUUACCUUGAGAAAAUUAGAGUGUUCAAAGCAGGCCUAUGCCUGGAUACAUUAGCAUGGAAUAAUAGAAUAGGACGUGUGGUUCUAUUUUGUUGGUUUCUAGAAUCGCCGUAAUGAUUAAUAGGGAUAGUUGGGGGCAUUGGUAUUCAGUCGCUAGAGGUGAAAUUCUUGGAUUGACUGAAGACAGACUAUUG